GGGGGCGUUUUGGAUUCGACGGGAGUUGGAUGGGUAAAAGUAGCGAGUCCGGGACCAUGGCCCGGUCAUCAACAUGGAAGGCAUAUAACUGCCAACGAUAAUUACGCUCUCGCUGCUUAAUUAAAGCAGCGUGUCCGCCGGCUCCGAGCCUGUAGGAGCCGUCCGGGCAUCGACUAGUCAGGCUACCGACUCCACGGUUGGCACAGCCAAAGGAGAAGGGAAUCACAACUGUGCUAGCGCAUGCGGAUCCCGUCUCAAGGAGCCGCCUGCGUGAAACCAAAAUUGGGACUAUGCUCGUAGAAGCUUUUACUGGUCUGCUUUCGGACAGGGGUUCGACUCCCCUCGCCUCCACCA
rnacentral:tmRNA from 1 species